UUGAUAUUAAGUGUGUCCCCAUUAUUUCC
rnacentral:piRNA from 1 species